GGGGAAUAUUGCACAAUGGGGGAAACCCUGAUGCAGCAACGCCGCGUGAGCGAUGAAGGCCUUCGGGUUGUAAAGCUCUGUCUUCGCUGACGAUAAUGACGGUAAGCGAGGAGGAAGCCACGGCUAACUACGUGCCAGCAGCCGCGGUAAUACGUAGGUGGCAAGCGUUGUCCGGAAUUACUGGGCGUAAAGGAUGCGUAGGCGGCCUCUUAAGUGGGAUGUGAAAUCCCGGGGCUUAACCCCGGAGCUGCAUUCCAUACUGGGAGGCUAGAGUGCAGGAGAGGAAAGCGGAAUUCCCAGUGUAGCGGUGAAAUGCGUAGAGAUUGGGAGGAACACCAGUGGCGAAGGCGGCUUUCUGGACUGUAACUGACGCUGAGGCAUGAAAGUGUGGGGAGCAAAC
rnacentral:rRNA from 1 species